AAUGAUAGAUAGUACCUAUAUCAAACAUUGCUGGAGUCAUCUCUUGGAGAAAACAGUUUACACUUGAUGGCCUGCCGGUUUCUAAAAUCUUGCUUUACCAACUGAGUUCUGAAACGGGGAAGGGCAUCUAUUGAUGGUGUGAGUGCGUCAUGAGGUAGGCUCUCAAGAUGAAGAACGGGAGGAGGAGUGCUGGCUCAGGAAAGCUCCAUAUAUUUUUCAUGGAUGCCUUUACAUAUUCUAUGUUAGCCUCAUUGUGGAGGAAGAGGUCGCGUCAAUGUGGAGACUAGGCGAACUCAAGUGGUCAUCGACUUGCCUCU